rnacentral:rRNA from 1 species
AGUGAACGCUGGCGGCAGGCCUAACACAUGCAAGUCGAACGGCAGCACAGUAAGCGCUUGCUCUUACGGGUGGUGACUGGCGGAUGGGUGAGGCAUACAUCGUAUUCUACUUUUUCUUGGGUGAUCACGUAGGGAAACUUACGCUAAUACCGCAUACGCCCUACGGGUGACACCCGGCGAUCUUCGGACUUCGCUUGAUUCUAUGAGCGCAUGUCGUAUUCGCUAGUUGGCGGGGUCAAGGCCCACCAAGGCGGCGAUCUGUCGCUGGUCUGAGAGUAUGAUCAGCCACCCGGGAAGUGAGACACGGUCCAGACUCCUAAGGGAGGCAGCAGUGGGGAAUAUUGGACAAUGGGCGGAAGCCUGAUCCAGCCAUACCGAGUGGGUGAAGAAGGCCUUCGGGUUGUAAAGACCUUUUGGUGGGAAAGAAAAGCAGUAAGUUAAGAACCAGCUGUUGUGACGGUACCAAAAGAAUAAGCACCGGCUAACUUCGUG